UCGUGAUAUGUUGCUGGCGUUUUCUGGCGAAUUUUUAUCAGCUGUUGGUGACGUCAUAAAGUGUCUGCGACAGUUUGGUUACGUUGUAACUCAUGAACAGUCAUAUCUGAAUGAGUUUGAUUAUGCUGUGACCAAGCUUCUUGAUCUUCGGGAUGGUAUUCGCUUGUGUCGUGUUAUGGAAAUAAUACUGCAAGACGAAACCAUCAUGUCAAAGCUUAGAGCACCGGCUUGGUCAACACAAUGUAGGACUUGCGUUUGCAUCUCUAAUUUCGGCAGGCUUUGAUAUAAAAAGCAAUAUUACAUCACGUGACAUUGUAGAUGGUCACAGAGAAAAAACGCUUUCGUUACUGUGGCAGAUACUCCUGAAGUUUCAGCUACCUAAGUAUGAGGCUGCUGCAGUGAAGCUACAACGUUGGUGGAGAAGAAAUUUGAUCAUAACUAGUGAAGAAUAAGAAAAUCAGCUAUUACAAUUCAGCA